AUCAUGGAAAAAAUGGGUUCUGUCAUUCCGAGACUGGUGAUAGGGGCAUUCAUUCAGUUCACCUGCAGCUACAGCACCCUACCACUCUACGCAAUUGUCACACAGAUUGGAAGUUCAUUGAAAAAGGAAAUAUUCGCAGAACAUGUACAAAAGGACUAGUUGACUGGGCUAGACAUGCCAA